CCCGCCCUCUAUAGGUGGAGGCCACGCCCCUCGUCUGGACCGCCCUCUGCGGACAUAGGCCACGCCCCUCUUCCCAUUGCGGAGAUUUCACCCGCUGAGACUCAGCUCCCAGGCCUGCAGCCCGGGCCAUGCCCACAAACCCUUGGACUCCUCCCACCCGCAAGCUGCGCCACUCGUCUGUGAGACAUCUUUCGGCUCCUGCCAGCUCAGGCUCCAGCAACGGCCCAGAAAGCCUUCGCCUGCGUGCGGCGCUGCAGGGUUAGCGGGGUUCAGAUAACCUAACGCAGUCUGCACGCGAAGCUGCAGCCGGGAACGCGGCAGAGCCGGGCGCUGCAGCCUCUUGAAAAGACAGACGCAGGGUCCACUCACUUCCCUUCCUAGGGAGCCCUCUCCCACCAAGUCUGCCAGGAGGGCUUGACUUCCUGCCCGGCCUCCCUACGCGCCCCAAAUUUCCCUGCCCCAGAUUCUCACGCCUGCGGGUGUCUGUAGCCUGCAAAGAUCUGGCAACCAUAGUGUGUGAAGAUGCACGCCACCUUCCCUACUCCAGCCUCCGGCGGCCUAGACCGCCCUCCUGUCCUCUGCAAAGCAGGUCCAGGGCUGCUGGCCCGCCUCCGCUAGCAGCUAGUUCACCCCAGAUGCAGGGGUGAGAGGUAGGCCGGGGAAGAGCGAGCAAUUAUCCUUUCAUCGUGCCUGUCCUCACAGCCCUGACUAACCACCGCCCAUCACCACGUUCUCACGGGCUUUACGGUAGCUGAUCCCAGAGCCAGGGGUCUAUCCAUCAUUUCUCCCGACUGUCUUGCUGCAGUGUGGAGGAGCCCCUACCUGGAGGAUCCACCCAUCCAUUCGUGCAUCCAUCCAUUCAUUCAGAGAGAUAUCUUCACACCCACCACCUUAACGUCAGUGUCUCCUGUGCCCACUGCAAGCGCUGGCAUACAGUAGGUGCCAACUUAAGUGUUACCGCCACUUUACAGGAGAGGUCACUGAACCCAAGCAGUCACCACCAUCCCACAACAUGUUCUCACCAGCCUCCCCAGCUGCCGGCCUUUGGUCCUCACCACACACUUCAUAAGGGAGGGACCCCGCCUUGAAUGCCUGUGGCUUACACCGUCAGCUCCUAACCAGAUCCUGGAACACUGGAACUAUGGACGUUUGCCACUUGCAUGGGUCCUGUGAAUCUGAACUCAGCACGUCACAGCAGCACAGGUUUACCCACGGAGCCAUCUCCCAAGACCCAUUAUUUAAUGUGCUAAUAAAAAAUGUCUCUAUCCUGA